AUGCAAGUCGAACGCCUGUAGCGAAUACAGGAGUGGCGCACGGGUGAGUAACGCGUGGGAACCUGCCCUGGAGUGGGGGAUAACCCGGCGAAAGCCGGGCUAAUACCGCAUACGACCUGAGGGUGAAAGAUUUAUCGCGUCUAGGAGGGGCCCGCGUCGGAUUAGCUAGUUGGUGGGGUAACGGCCUACCAAGGCUACGAUCCGUAGCUGGUCUGAGAGGAUGAUCAGCCACACUGGGACUGAGACACGGCCCAGACUCCUACGGGAGGCAGCAGUGGGGAAUAUUGGACAAUGGGGGCAACCCUGAUUCCCAGCAAUGCCGCGUGAGUGAUGAAGGCCUUAGGGUUGUAAAGCUCUUUCGGCGGGGACGAUGAUGACGGUACCCGCAGAAGAAGCCCCGGCUAACUUCGUGCCAGCCGCCGC
rnacentral:rRNA from 1 species